CGUAAACCUGUGUGACCACUACGGUGACCAGUUCCCGCUUUGAACGAACCUUCCCGCUCUCUCUCUCCGCGCUCAGUUCUGUCGGUCCUAAACGGAGACAGCUGAACCCACUGUCCGACCGUGAGUCUGAAGACAAACACAGCCUUAUUCCACCGCAGGCUGCUUUAUCGUGAGUAUAAUCAUCUCUGUAUUUAGUGUCAUAUUCCGCUACUUCUCUUUAGGUCAAUAAAUAAGGGCAAGUUGUAACACUUGUGUUCACAGUGGGCCUGUCCGAACUCCAAACAUGGCGAAGCGACGAGGGAAACUGAACCACAUGGACAUAAGAACGUUUUUGAGUCCACAAAAACGCAGAGUAAUGGAUCCUGAAGAGGGAAGUGGAGACGCCCAGUCGCAGGGAGAAGACUUGAACAACCAGGAUUUGAAUCACAAACCAAAGAUAAAGUCUGAGGAAGCCGCUGGGUCAGAGGUGAGUAUGAUUAUGCUUUUGCAGAGAUCAGCUGAUUCCCUGAAAACACUGAAGGACUAAUGUAGCAAGUGUUUUCAAGCGCCAAAACCAAACUCUUAUCGUACUAAACCCCUUCUUCAUGUUUGCAUCCGACAUAAACUGUUUACGCUUGUGACAUGUUUGUUUUGCAGGUUCAUUCACAUAAAUUCAUUUUAAAAUUCAAGAACUCUGAGGACAGAUACAC
rnacentral:lncRNA from 1 species